ensembl:snoRNA
CUCUUGUGAUGAACUUUGCUUUGUGCCAUCGUGUCUGGGCCACUGAUGCUCUAUGAUGGUAGUGAGGAUCUGAGGGG